AUACGGAGGACGCGAGCGUUAUCCGGAUUCAUUGGGUUUAAAGGGUGCGCAGGCGGCCGUGCAAGUCAGCGGUGAAAGCCCGGGGCUCAACCCCGGAAGUGCCGUUGAUACUGCGUGGCUGGAAUGCGGUCGAGGCGGGCGGAACGGGGCGUGUAGCGGGGAAAAGCGUAGAUAUGCCACAGAACGCCGAUAGCGGAGGCAGCUCGCCAGGCCUGCAUUGACGCUCGGGCACGAAAGCGUGGGGAUCAAACAGGAUUAGAUACCCUGGUAGUCCACGCAGUAAACGAUGAUGGCUAACCGCUGGGCUUAUCAGUUCAGUGGCCAAGCGAAAGCGAUAAGCCAUCCACCUGGGGAGUACGACCGCAAGGUUGAAACUCAAAUGAAUUGACGGGG
rnacentral:rRNA from 1 species